CUUUGAUUGUGCCAAUAGAAAAAAAAUAUUUAUUUUGAACAUAUACCAAAUAGUAUAUACCCUUGAUAAAAGUUUUAUCAGAGUACACAAAGUACAUAACUUAAGACAUAUAUUGGUAGAUAGAUAAAUAAAAAAAAUAACAUAGCAGUGCUUUCUCAGGUAAGCAAAUAAAUGGAAAUUUUGUACCAAGUCAACCCAAAGUGUUACCAAAUAUAUUCAGUCUUUUCAUAACAAUUCAAAAUAUUAAUUAAUCUUUUCAUUUGUGUACAUAUGAGCAUAUACACGUACUGCAUACACCCUAUAGGAUUCGGUUUAUAGCAGGAAUAAUUACGUAUGAACUUUAACAGCAAAUAUUCUGUGUAAUUAAGCAUAAUGAAAUACAAAUUUAAAUAAUAAUAUGAAAAUAUUUAAUGAAAUAUUAUAUAUAUACAAAUGGUCGAAAAAUAAUAUUUUGUAGUAUGGUUUUGUAAAACAAUACACAUCGAGUCUUGCAUAUGGUUAAAUAAUUGUUUUGUAUAUUGGCUUUGAAAGCUAUAGUUAAUCUAACACUAGUAUUGCACUUAUGCAAUGUUUUGUAUAGAAUUUUGGUUGCUCGAAUUAAUAAGACAAUCCUGCUUAGAUCAACACGUUUACUGUAACUCAAUGGUACAAACAAUAAAUAGAAUUUAUGUAUUUACACCUUAAGAAAAGUAGACAAUUCUUUACAUUGGAUUCCAUUAAAAAAGCUCAAUUAUACUAGUGCAUUUUAGACAAAGAGACCAAAGCCACUUUCUUUAAGUGGCUGGUCAAUAU